ACUCCUACGGGAGGCAGCAGUGGGGAAUUUUGGACAAUGGGCGAAAGCCUGAUCCAGCNAUGCCGCGUGAGUGAAGAAGGCCUUCGGGUUGUAAAGCUCUUUUGUCAGGGAAGAAAGGGUGAAACCUAAUAUCUUUUGCUAAUGACGGUACCUGAAGAAUAAGCACCGGCUAACUACGUG
rnacentral:rRNA from 1 species